GAUGAAGAACGUAGUGAAAUGCGAUAAGUAAUGUGAAUUGCAGAAUUUAGUGAAUCAUCGAAUCUUUGAACGCACAUUGCGCCCGCCAGUAUUCUGGCGGGCAUGCCUGUUCGAGCGUCAUUACAACCCUCAGGCCCCCGGGCCUGGCGUUGGGGAUCGGCGGAGCCCCCCGUGGGCACACGCCGUCCCCCAAAUGCAGUGGCGGUCCCGCCGCAGCUUCCAUCGCGUAGUAGCUAACACCUCGCGACUGGAGAGCGGCGCGGCCACGCCGUAAAACACCCAACUCUUCUGAAGUUGACCUCGAAUCAGGUAGGAAUACCCGCUGAACUUAAGCAUAUCAAUAAGCGGAGGA
rnacentral:misc_RNA from 1 species